rnacentral:tRNA from 2 species
GCCUUGGUGGCGGAAUGGUAGACGCAGCGGAUUCAAAAUCCGCCGUUGGCGACAACGUGAGAGUUCGAGUCUCUCCCAAGGCA